GAUGAGGUGGCCCGAGUGGUUAAGGCGAUGGACUGCUAAUCCAUUGUGCUAUGCACGCAUGGGUUCGAAUCCCAUCCUCAUCG